rnacentral:rRNA from 1 species
GAGUUUGAUCCUGGCUCAGGAUGAACGCUAGCUACAGGCUUAACACAUGCAAGUCGAGGGGCAGCAUGAACUUAGCUUGCUAAGUUUGAUGGCGACCGGCGCACGGGUGAGUAACACGUAUCCAACCUGCCGAUGACUCGGGGAUAGCCUUUCGAAAGAAAGAUUAAUACCCGAUGGCAUAGUUCUUCCGCAUGGUAGAACUAUUAAAGAACUUCGGUCAUCGAUGGGGAUGCGUUCCAUUAGGUUGUUGGCGGGGUAACGGCCCACCAAGCCUUCGAUGGAUAGGGGUUCUGAGAGGAAGGCCCCCCACAUUGGAACUGAGACACGGUCCAAACUCCUACGGGAGGCAGCAGUGAGGAAUAUUGGUCAAUGGACGAGAGUCUGAACCAGCCAAGUAGCGUGAAGGAUGACUGCCCUAUGGGUUGUAAACUUCUUUUAUACGGGAAUAAAGUGAGGCACGUGUGCCUUUUUGUAUGUACCGUAUGAACAA